rnacentral:rRNA from 1 species
CCUACGGGAGGCAGCAGUGGGGAAUAUUGCGCAAUGGGCGAAAGCCUGACGCAGCGACGCCGCGUGAGGGACGAAGGCCUUCGGGUUGUAAACCUCUUUCAGCAGGGACGAAGCGAAAGUGACGGUACCUGCAGAAGAAGCACCGGCCAACUACGUGCCAGCAGCCGCGGUAAUACGUAGGGUGCAAGCGUUGUCCGGAAUUAUUGGGCGUAAAGAGCUCGUAGGCGGUCUGUUGCGUCGGCUGUGAAAACUCGGGGCUCAACCCCGGGCCUGCAGCCGAUACGGGCAGACUAGAGUUCGGCAGGGGAGACUGGAAUUCCUGGUGUAGUGGUGAAAUGCGCAAAUAUCAGGAGGAACACCGGUGGCGAAGGCGGGUCUCUGGGCCGAUACUGACGCUGAGGAGCGAAAGCGUGGGGAGCGAACAGGAUUAGAUACCCUGGUAGUCCACGCCGUAAACGUUGGGCGCUAGGUGUGGGUUCCCUUCCACGGGAUCCGUGCCGCAGCUAACGCAUUAAGCGCCCCGCCUGGGGAGUACGGCCGCAAGGCUAAAACUCAAAGGAAUUGACGGGGGCCCGCACAAGCGGCGGAGCAUGUGGCUUAAUUCGAGGCAACGCGAAGAACCUUACCUGGGUUUGACAUGCAGGGAAAUCUCCCAGAGAUGGGAGGUCCGCAAGGGCCUUGCACAGGUGGUGCAUGGCUGUCGUCAGCUCGCGUCGUGAGAUGUUGGGUUAAGUCCCGCAACGAGCGCAACCCUCGUCCUAUGUUGCCAGCACAUCAUGGUGGGGACUCAUAGGAGACUGCCGGGGUCAACUCGGAGGAAGGUGGGGAUGACGUCAAGUCAUCAUGCCCCUUAUGUCAGGGCUGCACACAUGCUACAAUGGCCUGUACAAAGGGCUGCUAACCGCGAGGUGGAGCGAUCCCCAAAAGCCCGUCUCAUUCGGAUCGGGUCUUGCACUCGACCCGUGAAGUCGGAUUCCUACUAAUCGCGAUCAUCAACUCGCGGUGAAUACGUUCCAGCG